UUGAAGGCCGGUGUGAAGUGGUUCUAGGGAAGGCGCGCUUCAGCGUUUUCUCAUCGCUGUCCCCAAACAUCUCCUCAGUGAAAAGUAGACAAUGCCUCAGGAAAAUGUUUCAAACUUAGUAAGCCUACAUUUAUAUUAAGCACGUGGUGCUUAUUUUGUAACUCUCCAUAAUUUUAGUAAUAAAUAGGUAACUUCAAAUUCCAUUGCCCCAACAAAAUAUAAACUACCCUGAUUUUGCCUGGAUAUCAAAAGGAUAAUGACUCAGGCCUAAGAGGAAGCAGGUAUCCAGUUGAUGAAAAAUGCCGGUAUCUUGGUGGGAUGCUCUGUUUAGUGGGACGAGGAAGGAAGAGAUGAAUCUUCUGAAACAACGCGAAAGAUUAAGAACUAGUGUUAGUUUAUUCACAAUAAAACUCAGCAAUAACCCCCCCCCCCGAGAGUGUGUCCAGUUCUGACAACGGAAAUGAAGGGAGAGCAGGGGUUAGAUUCAAACAUGCUCUGAAGGGCUGUCCUGUGAAAAGCAGCUGCUGUGAUGACUUUAUGAAAGCGAGGGUUACCAGUGGGAGAGACGUGUUUGCUGUUACCACCGAGAUUAUCACCGACUUUACAAAAAUAGCUAUCUAUCAGGAACAUUAAUAGCAAGCAGUUGGACCAAAGAAGUUACAAUGUUCUGCAUUUGCUCCCCACCACCGGGAUCUGGAAAGAGCUAAGGCCCACCUUCCCCUGGAACUCUCAGAAAGAUCUUGGACCCAUCAACAAUUUUGUUUUGGACCACAAGCAUCAGCAACUUUUCCUGUUGUGGGUUCUUUGUUAUAGAAGCCCGGGAAACAUACUCAUUAUAAAUAAAAAAAGAUUUUAUUUUUUUCUCCUCCA